UAUCUCUGUAGAGUCUGCAUAUCAAUAAGCGGAGGAAAAGAAACUAACUAGGAUUCCCUCAGUAACGGCGAGUGAAGCGGGAAGAGCUCAAAUUUGAAAUCUUCAAGGUUCUACCUUGACGAAUUGUAGUUUAAAGAAGUGUUUUCUGUUGGAGUUUUGGUAAAAGUUCUUUGGAAUAGGACAUCAUAGAGGGUGAGAAUCCCGUAUUUGACCAUUAUUUCCAGCUUUGUGAUACACUUUCAAAGAGUCGGAUUGUUUGGGAAUGCAGUCCAAAAUGGGUGGUAAAUUUCAUCUAAAGCUAAAUACUGGCGAGAGACCGAUAGCGAACAAGUACCGUGAGGGAAAGAUGAAAAGAACUUUGAAAAGAGAGUUAAACAGUACGUGAAAUUGUCAAAAGGGAAGCGUUUGACACCAGUGUUGUUUUCUCGAAAAUCAAUUAAAAAAGGCAGGAUUUUGUGUUGUAUUGACUUUAUCAGCUUUCUGCACUCUUUUCUUGUCUUUUUUAAUGCACUUUUCGUUUAACAAGUCAACAUCAAUUUCUUUUGUUGUAAAAGGGUCAUUGGAAGGUGGCUUUCUUUUCGGAGAAAGUGUUUAUAGCCUUUGGCCUCUGCAAUCGGAGAGAUUGAGGUCUGCAGCGUAGAUCCUUCGGGGUUAGAUACAUUUGUGCUAAGUUAUAGCCUUUCAUAGACAACUUGUUGACUAUGAUCAGUCAUGUAGCUUACUCGCUUAUGUAUUUUACCUACGCUUAGGAUGUUGAAGAUGUAGCACAUCAU
rnacentral:rRNA from 1 species